GAGGUUGCUGAAUAUGGAUGAAGAAAUAGUUCCCUCAAAAUGAUUGAAAGAAAUAUCUAAAGAAACCAAAGAAAUCAUUCCACCAAGGCAUGGAUCAAGUACACCUUAUAAAAGGUUAUCCUGAAGAUUUAACAUCUGUAGGUUCCCAAGUGUACAGAUUCCUGAAAAGUGUAACAAGUAGUUAAUAUCCAGAAAAAAUAUAACUUUGUUAUGCAAAAUUUUAGCACCCAAUUUCACUGUAACACGAUCAGUAAAAGUAAAGAUGCAUAAUGUUCAUUCUAUAAUCUGCCAAGACUGGGAGUCAACAACUCAGCUUUACUAGACAAAACACAUGAAGGGCAGCCCAAUGCACUAAACCUCCCGUUAUGUGUAGGGCUCAGAUGAAAAAUACCAUAUGAAAACAACAAGAAAAAGAGGUGACACUACAAAGUAAAAUGUCCCAUUAUUGUGGUUAAGUUUAAGCCAAGAUGGAACUUAGAAUAAUUGUGAUUCAGGUAUCGUUAAAUGAAAAGAAACUAGGAGAACCCCUGAUAUUGUUAUGUGAAAUAUCUACUUUCAAGCGUUGAGUGCUUUUCAAAGAGGUAGGUUGGUGUGCUUCCAUCAUCAAGAAAAUUAUCACUCAAAUCCAACCUUUUGAGAUUCCACAGUCUACAUAACGAUGCAAGAAAUUUAUAAAGAAACUAAAGGGUUAUUUUUUGUCAAGUUCAUUAAUCAUAGUAAAAAUUGAUUUUCAUAUUCAUCAGAAUAAUCUGAAAACUCAACUCCAGGAAAUAUAUAGUUCAUACUUGCUAUCUUAUGCUGGCGCAAAGGUUGUUAAGGGAAAUUAGAAAAAGCUACAGAGUAGAACUUCGUUUAGACCAUGUUAUUUAUCGAAGAAAAACUCUUUAGAUAUACCACAAAAAUCAUGACGAUUACUAGUUCUGGUAGUCGAUUCAAAACUUUUCAAAUUUUACCAAAACUUGGUUCCAGUAUUCUCAACCGUAAUGCAAGCAUCACUAUGGAACUCUCCUAUAUUUUCAAUACUAGUUCUUUUCAUAAUGAAAAUGCUAGAAUACGGACCAAACUCCUGAGUUUCAGGAAUAUAAAUAUUUGCAAUAUUUAUAACCACUACGAUGGAUAAUAGUAGUAGCGGCAAGGAGAAGUUGCAGGUUAAACUAAAUAUUUCAAGUUUUAGAAUAGUAAUUCCUACUAGAUGCUUGUGCCCUUACUUACAUCUAGAUAUCAAUGUGGAAAAACCUUAGAACUAAAAAGAGAACAAUUCAUCAGGAAAGAAUUCGUAUUCUCAAUAUUCCACUUUCCCUUUACGAAUAAAUCAGAAUCCAUAAUACCAAAACUAUACCACUAUAAAAUAAACAAGAAAAUAACGAACUACAUGGUUAGUUAAAAAAGACACAUUAGAAGAUUCUCAUACAAGCACCAAAAAUGGGGAGAGCAGGCAUCUAUAGUAACAGUUAUUUGCAGAAUAGUACAAACACUACCAGACUUCAAAUGUAAAUCCCCAACCACCCUACCCCCCACUCCCCUCCAAAAAAAUAUAUCAAGGACAUGAUCUCUGUGGGAAUGAAAAGGAAUUCCAUGUCAACUAAUGUUACCAUUGUAUUAAUAACAAUAACGAGGUGGGAAGAACGCCUGUAAUUUACAUAGUUUCAUUAGAUAUGAGUAACCUUAUCUUACUUUAUAAAGAUCUUUUCACACAUUUUAUACAUGAAUGAACUAUGAAUAUACAAAUUAGGCAGGUUAUCAUACCUAUUGAUUCCAUAGACAAAAAAAGAAAUAAAAUUUUGAUCUAAACCAGAUCUCUUAACCAAUUCUUUUGGAAAUAAUAUUGCGGUGAUAUUUAAAACCUCUGAAACUUCAAAUUGGUGUAAUCACAAAGUAGUAUAAAAAAUUACCUAAAAAUAAACUUCACAUAUAGCCAUUCAAACUAAAUGCAUCAAUUAAAGGACAUAUAUAGGACUAAUAAAAAGGAAGAAGAAAAGAAAACCUAACUUAAUAGAAUUCUUUUGAGAAUUCUAGCUACCCAAGUUAAUCAGUUUAUAACAAGAAAGUUUGGCGUAGAAUUUCCUGAGGAGUUGGGACUUAAUGAGGCACGGUAAGGCUAAAAUUAAUGAAGCUUAGUGUAUCUUGGUGAAGCUAGGCUUAGCGAGACUUAAUGGAGCUUAGCAAGGCAAGGUAAAGCCAGGAAAAUUUUAGCGAGGCUUAGUGAGGAUAGGCUGAAAGGGGUUAUCGAAGCACUAAUAUUAUUGUAGUUUAUACUUGAUAAAAAAUCAUUUGAAACAACCACAUUUCUAUACCAGCGGAAACACUGAGAAGAGAAAUCUUGUUUAUUCCAGCUCUUAUCUUUACAUUGCCACUGUAUGUAAGUUUUGGAUUAUCUAAUGCCCCAUAUAUAGUUCCUACCCAAAAUUCCAUGAUACAUAGAAAUUAAGAGAUGCACAGACUAAGAAAAUUUAGUUUGUUAGGAAAAAUCAUGUUUUCAUAGUCCCAAAUAAAGUGGUUUUUUCGGCUACCUGCUAGUUUUCCAUUGACGAAAACAUGUAAGGAAUGACCAACCAACAUAAUAGUGAGAUAAGGUUCCUUUUGUUCUUUAGAAAUCCUUCAAUUGAUGCUAUAUUUAGCAUCAUAGUUAGAUAGGAAUGUAACACAAGCUCCAGAUUUUGAUCAAUAGACAUGAGCCUAUGUUGGUCACAAAAAUUAUGUACAGCGUUGAACAAAUAUCAUGAUGAUUACAAUGACAUAUUGAGUGGUGGAACCAGGAACAAGACAAAUGCCAGGAAUCACUGUCUUCUCCAUGCUAAACCAUAAAUAAAUUUUCAUUAUAUCCACAUAACGGAAUAAAAUGGCAGGUGGAACCAGGAAUAAGCCAGAGUAGCAUAGGAUUUCAUAUGAGUAAUAAAUAGAAACAAAUAUUUAUUGCAUGUUAAAUUAAAAUCAGACAAACAAACUAAUUGAAAUUAAGAGAAUAGUAGAAAUCAAGUAGCUUACACUAUGUGAUGAUUGUUCUAAAGGAUGGUAUAGUCGUGGAAAUCCAGUGUUG
rnacentral:lncRNA from 1 species